ACCCCCUGGCAGUGGGCAAAGUGACACUUUGUUGAAUGUGUCCUUAUUAUCAGUCAGGGGCAGAGCAGAUGUCAGGCCUUUGUUCAUCCUAGCUCCAUGCUUGGCUUGGUGGCCAAAACUGUUUUAUGCCUAGAACACAUAA